UGUGGGAGGUAGCAGGUAUGCUGGUGGGGCUUGUCCAAAGUUUUCAAGCACUGGGCUAGCUGUAGGCAUUGCUGGUAAAGCCUCUGCACCUUCCAGGGGGCUGUGGUGCUGGCCAGGAGGGAAGUUGCAGGAUCUGCCUGCUUUGUUGUCAAUGGCUUUCCAGCGGACCCUACCUGGGGAAGACCUGUUCAGAAGUGGAAGUGCCACCGUGUCUAUUUACUGCCAGAAACGGCUCCUUUUUAGAAGCUUUGACUAUGCUGUUUGCUUCAAAGCCUUGUUCGAUGCAAGCAUGCCCGCCGCGUGGCUGUUUUAAAGGCGUGUGUACUAGCAACCUGGGGAGAAUUAGAAGAGGGUCAUCCCUAAUUUGUUGCUGAGACCCGGGGAUUUUUGUCCAUGCUGCUGCAUUGCAAUGGGUUCUGAAUUCGCUCCCAUUUCGACUCGCUCAAAGCUGCACCUUUCCAAAAAGUUCCUGAAACGUUGCUCCCUUUAAAGUUUUGCUGGUUAAGCAAGACAACCGCACGCUGCCAGAAGUCAGCAUGCGAGCAUCUCUUGAGGAGGCCCCACUCUUCCUCACAGGUAUUGGUAUGUGUGCGGCAUCCGUCAGAAAGGCAGCAAGAUGAGAGGCACUGCCAGUGGAAAGAAGAGAAAUCAAGCCAGCAAGCCUUGGGACACCCAAUGCAAGGAACUGGGAGAGAGGGACCAGGUGUCUAGCAGAGAAAGGAGGAGAUUGGUGUAGAAAAGUCCUCCUAUAAUAGAGAUAACAGAGGAAAGGCAAGGAUGAACCAUGCUCUGCAAGGAGAGACGGAGACUGCGCUAAGGGCACAGGUCCCUGGAGAGCGAGCCAAGAGAGCUGGGAGUCUGUGGAGCUUUAUCCAUUUGUGUUAUUUUUCAUUCCUAAAGUAAUCCCUGCCGUCAGAGGAGAAACUCAACACGUUUUUAUUGAAUUCUGUAAAAGUUCAUAUUGGGGAAAAAAAUAUGUUUUUCAUUUUUUGACUCUUUUUUUUUAUUUCAUGAAACACUGGAAACUUUAGUGCUUUGGAAAUCUCCUACCGGACGUUGGAGCUUUUCACUUUGUUCCUGCCGUAAGACUGUCAUUUGAGGAGGAGCUAUCAGGAGGCUGAAUCUGAUGCGUUUCAGCUUGAGCGUGAUCUUCUGAUGUGGAAUUUCCUCUGGAUUUGAAGUAUCACUCGGACAAAAAUUCCACUGCCUCGUUCCCAAGAUAUGAAAUGGAAAAUAAGAAUCAGUGCUUGUGCUUCAUCCAGCAAGAUCUGGCGUUGCAGAACAGGCAGCCGGUCGACAGAAGGAGCACGCCCCGCUUCCAUUUUAAUGCAAGCCCUGAGCGGAUUCUGCGCCUGCUUACGCUGAUGUAAACCUAGAGAGUGCACAGGAGUUGGUCCGAUUUGGCUCCGGUGCCUCUGAGUAGGAUCGGGCUCUUCAGUGUCAAGUCUUGAGGAAUGAAUGGGAUCUAGUGAAGGCUCCCAAUUCAUUUGGUUUCUGGGGGUGUCAUGUCUACCAAGCAUCCCACCGCAGCUCCCUGGCUUGGACCUUGGCACCCAAAAUCCUCCAAGUACGCAGCAGGCCUGGAUCCGUGCAGUAUCCGAGGAGACUUAGGAGCCUUCUUGCCCGAUCAGCUAGUCUCGCCCCAACGGAUCUAACGGGAAUUUAGCUGGCUUGUGCACGCAGUUGUGCAUGCAGUCUAGCACAGCAGUUGUUUUAGUCUAUAGACACCAAUAUAUUCUCACAGGAGAAUGAAUGCUUUCACUUUGCAUCCUACCUGGCAGUCCACUCAUCUCACUGCCUGCCCAAAACAGCCGAUCGACGCCAGGACUUGGAGCUCAGCUUACAACUUGGUGGGACUGCGCUGUUCUGGAGCGGUCGGGGGAUCUGGCCUUAGGAAACGCUUUGCAAAUUUGGCCAGUUACAGCAAGAUGACGGCGGGGUUUGGAGGCCUGAUGUGGGAGCACAGCCUUUUUUUUUCACAGGGCACGGAUUCAUUUCCUUUUUGUGAGCAGGAGCAGAGGGCAAAUGCGAUCGCAGUGCGGGCUGCAGCUGUCCUGUUACGAGCUGCGACGUGUGCCACAUUUUUGCAAGUUGAGGCCAUUCCUAACUUACAAAGUGCCAAGGAAAAACAGUUUUUAGCUCCCUCGGCUCUAGGACACCAUCCCGGUGGAAACUCAUCUUAUUUGCCACCAGCUCCCGCAUCGCCCGGUCCCCAGAAAAUCCAGCCGUCCACGUGCAGGACAAAAGGCCGAGCUACACGGCAGAGACUCCAUCAUCAGCUGGAAGUGGUAUUCGUCUUCAAGGCAUCCCUGGCCCGGUCUGCACUGGUCUGACCCAAAGGUGGGAGCAGGAAGGGAUGCAGCCCAUUCAUAAAUGAAUCACGCACAUCUGAAUGGAGCUGGCAGGGGGAAGCGAUUUACAUAAGCUUGUGUCCUCGGGCGAGCAUGCGCGCUACCCAAGUCCUGAUGCGCACGGUAAGCGGAAGCUGACCCUGGACAGCUCUCAUUUCCAUAGCACCCUUGGGACCUACUCAUUUACUGCAGCAUCUCCUAAUCAUCAUAGCCCCAUGAUGGUUACACAAGUGCAAACGCUCCCGGAGACACGUGCUGAUUAGUCUCACUAGCGGCACCGAGCCCCUGUUCUUUCACCAUCAUGGUGACCUGACAGAUGUGCGUAUCGCAGAAACCAGGGCUUUGCUUUGCACAACGUCAAUCAAUAAAGUGGAAAUACAGCCGUUAACACCACUUACAGUUUCGCCUAUUACUACAAUGCCCUGCUUGUUCCGCGGGAAAGCAAUUUUAUGCUCCGCUGAAGCAUGGUUAGCUUAGCCUUCAACUAACGGCAAAUGCCAGAUACUGCAAAAUGUUACAAUUAUGGCAGCCCUGUCCUAUAUUUAUUUAUAUGUAUCAGCGCAACGCUUAAUUUCAUGGAGAGAGGGAACAGAGAGGCAACACCUCCAAACUUCGGAGAAGUGAAAAAGCUUCCUCUCAGGUUGAUCUGCCAUUGUGGAGGGACCUUGGCUCCACGUCAACGCGGUUCCAAGAACAUCUUUAACUUUAAACACAUCGAUAACUCCUUUGAAGUCAUGGGAGCCCUUCGCACGCUCCAAUACCUUGCUGAACGGAGCGCUAUCUAUAUGCCUGGUAACAAAUGGGUAAUAAAGCCACUCGGACCUGAAUCUUGUGCCAUUAGAUGCUGCUGCCUUUUAUAUAGUAGACUGCUUUCAGAUGCGGGCACCCACAUGGGCGUCCUUUCGUCCAGCUGGCCAGCUCAUGAGAACAGGCCUUUUUAAAAAUAAAAACAGCCCCUGUUUUUAUUCAUAUUUAUUAUUAACUGUGUGGGAUCAGCAUGCAAGAGUAAGGAUGAAAGCCACUGCAUGUGUCAUUUGCAGUAGAUGUCCCCUUUCCAUCAUUAUCAAAAUGUUCAGCAGGCACGUGCUGCUGCUUAUAACAUUUGGGAUGGGAAAGGGUUGAUAUGAAUGGUUUUUUAGCUUUCUCGUUUCAUUUUUUAAAAAAAUACAUAUAUAUUUUUUAAUAUCGACAGGUUUCCUUUUGACAGUGCCCAAACUUUUUUGUUUGGACAUUAUCACACCAGCCUAGAAAAUCAUAGACCAGUAGAAUCAUAUCAUUUCUGCUCCUUUCCUUUUUCCUUCUGUAUUGUAAAAUAUUAAUUUUGACAUGAUCUUUCUAGCUCGCAUUUAAUGCUAUCAGAUAGGCUCUCUUGAAAUAUUUCUUAUCGUAAUGCUUUGCCGUAAUGUGCCAUGAAACCGUGUGAUCAUUCUGAAUAAAAACUUUCCAAAAUGGUCAUUUUGCAGGAAAUGUCUAAAUAUAAGGGGUUUUGUUCCUAUUUGGAAUAACAACCAACUUCAAAAUGCUGGCAUUUCCCAAAGCCCCCAAAACAGCUGUUUCCAGCCGGUUCCACUAUCUCUCUGUAUAACGCAGGCAGAAUGGAGGAUUAAAGGCUAUGCUACAAUGCAGGAGUCUACGGCUAAAGCCACUGCAGGUGUGCUUUUUAAUAAGGUAGUAAUUGAGGAGCACAGAAGGGAUUUGUAGACGAAGGACCAUGCACAUGAUCAGUUCUUUCAUUAAAGCAAUCAGCUUGAACUUUACAUUUCUGCUGCGUAUCAGAUUCAGGGCAAAUUUCCCAUUCCUCUCCUCCAUACUCAUAUGCUGCGCUCUCAUAUCAGGAAUGUUUAAGGAUGGCACAUGGGACUAAUGCAUCCCCUUCCCAUUGUACAGUGCACAGCCAUAGUAUAGCUCAGUACAGAUAUAGAAACAGAAUGCAAAAACAUGGUACCUGAUAAAAAAAAAGGAUUAUGAAGCUGUGUUGUACCAUCAAAUUUUAAGCAAAAUUCCUCAUUGAUUUAAUUGUGGAGCUCAGCUUAAAAAUCUGUUGGUCUGUGUGCAUCUCUUUUGAAGUGGAAAUGCAAGGCAAUGAUUUUUGCCAUUGCUUAUCGUAGAUGAAUAAAGAGGGAAGCUCAUCAGUUGGAGCAUCCCAGAGGAAGUCUAACCAAGGCAGAGAAGUUCUCAGGAGUGCAGCACAGUUGCAAAGAGAUUAUUGACACUGCGAGACUCCCCUCAACCCACCCGUUCUCCAAGUGCAUUGCAUUUGCAGAGAGGUAGCAGAUUGAACUUCUUCUCUGGAGUUGCAGUUUUAAGUAUUGCUUCUAUGCAACCAUGUACACGCUACGGUUUGGAUGCUGGGCAGGAAUGAGGUCAGCUGACCCCAGUACUCAUUCCUGCCCAGGGCAGGGGGUCGGACUCGAUGAUCUAAUAGGUCCCUUCCGACCCUAACAUCUAUGAAACUCAGUUUGUAUCCCACGUCAGAAAACCCAAGGGGAAAAUGGACUUCUUUGUCCUCAUCUAUACAAAGGAGUGUGGAACAGGCAACCGUGCUCAUAACCAUACACCUAAAUACAGAGGUACAAAAUGCCCAUGAAUCAUGGCACGAUGCAGCAAAUGUAGCAGGCAGGCAGGCAGGGUAUAGUGGAAGGGCAAAUAGGACAAGAUAGUAUAUGGUUAAAAAGAAGUGCCAGGCACUGUUUAAAAAUGACUGCAAUGGGGGAAAGCCAAAGGAAGAAGAAAUGGGGGGAGAAAACCCAAGCUGGUGAAUUCAUUAUCCAGGCUGGUUACAUUUGACAUCGACCCCAGGGGUGGGUAAAG